UACGUAGGGGGCCAGCGUUGCUCGGAAUUACUGGGCGUAACGGGCGCGUAGGCUGUGCUGUAAGUCAGGCGUGAAAGGCCCGGGCUCAACCUGGGAACUGCGCAUGAUACUGCGGCGCUUGAAGACGGGAGAGGAUGGCGGAAUUCCCAGUGUAGAGGUGAAAGGCGUAGAUAUGGGGAAGAACACCGGUGGCGAAGGCGGCCAUCUGGCCCGUGAUUGACGCUGAGGCGCGAAAGCGUGGGGAGCAAACAGG
rnacentral:rRNA from 1 species